AUUGAACGCUGGCGGAAUGCUUUACACAUGCAAGUCGAACGGCAGCACGGGAGCUUGCUCCUGGUGGCGAGUGGCGAACGGGUGAGUAACAUAUCGGUACGUACCCAGUCGUUGGGGAUAACUAUCCGGAAGGUUAGCUAAUACCGCAUACGUCCUGAGGGAGAAAGCGGGGGAUCGCAAGACCUCGCGCGAUUGGAGCGGCCGAUAUCGGAUUAGCUAGUUGGUGGGGUAAAGGCGCACCAAGGCGACGAUCCGUAGCGGGUGUGAGAGGACGACCCGCCACACUGGAACUGGGACACGGUCCAGACUCCUACGGGAGGGAGCAGUGGGGAAUUUUGGACAAUGGGGGCAACCCUGAUCCAGCCAUGCCGCGUGAGUGAAGAAGGCCUUCGGGUUGUAAAGCUCUUUCAGCAGGAACGAAACGGUCGGCUUUAAUAAAAUCGGCUAAUGACGGUACCUGCAGAAGAAGCACCGGCUAACUACGUG
rnacentral:rRNA from 1 species